GGGUGUCAUUCCAAGGGCAUUGCCCGGUAGCUACGUUCGGAACUGAUAAGCGCUGAAAGCAUCUAAGCGCGAAGCAGGCCUCGAGAUGAUUUCUCACUAGACUUUUAAAGUCUCUGAAGGGCCGUUGAAGACUACAACGUUGAUAGGCAAGAUGUGGAAGUGGUGUGAGCCAUUAAGCUAACUUGUACUAAUUACCCGUGAGGCUUAACCAUACAACGCCAAACGCGUUUUG
rnacentral:rRNA from 1 species